AGGACGACGCUGGCGGCGUGCUUAACACAUGCAAGUCGAACGGUGAACCAGAGCUUGCUCUGGGGAUCAGUGGCGAACGGGUGAGUAACACGUGGGCAACCUGCCCCAGACUCUGGGAUAACCUCGGGAAACCGAUGCUAAUACCGGAUACGACCACUUCGGACAUCCGACGGUGGUGGAAAGUUUUCGGUCUGGGAUGGGCCCGCGGCCUAUCAGCUAGUUGGUGGGGUAAUGGCCUACCAAGGGCGACGACGGGUAGUCGGCCUGAGAGGGCGACCGGCCACACUGGAACUGAGACACGGUCCAGACUCCUACGGGAGGCAGCAGUGGGGAAUAUUGCACAAUGGGCGAAAGCCUGAUGCAGCGACGCCGCGUGAGGGACGACGGCCUUCGGGUUGUAAACCUCUUUCAGCAGGGACGAAGCGAAAGUGACUGUACCUGCAGAAGAAGCACCGGCUAACUACGUG
rnacentral:rRNA from 1 species